GACGAACCGUGCGAACGUUGUUCGGAUUCACUGGGCUUAAAGGGCGCGUAGGCGGCUUGCCAAGUCAGGGGUGAAAUCUUUCGGCUCAACCGGAAAAGUGCUUCUGAUACUGGCGGGCUGGAGGGGGGUAGGGGCAGAUGGAACUUCCGGUGGAGCGGUGAAAUGCGUAGAUAUCGGAAGGAACGCCGGUGGCGAAAGCGAUCUGCUGGACCCCUUCUGACGCUGAGGCGCGAAAGCCAGGGGAGCAAAGCGG
rnacentral:rRNA from 1 species